rnacentral:misc_RNA from 1 species
ACUACACGGGUAUCUAAUCUGUUUGCUCCCACGCUUUCGUGCAUGAGCGUCAGUGUUAUCCCAGGAGGCUGCCUUCACCAUCCGGUGUUCCUCCGCAUAUCUACGCAUUUCACUGCUACACGCGGAAUUCCACCUCCCUCUGACACACUCUAGCUCGGUAGUUAAAAAUGCAGUUCCAAAGUUAAAUGGGAUUUCACAUCUUUCUUUCCGAACCGCCUGCGCUUGCGCUUUACGCCCAGUAAUUCCGAUUAACGCUUGCACCCUACGUAUUACCGCGGCUCUUUGGCUGGUAGUUAGCCGGUGCUUAUUCUGCGGUACCGUCAGUUGCGGAAUGUACUCCGUGCCACGAUUUCUUGCCUGUCAAAAAGUGCUUUACAACCCGAAGGCCUUCAUCGCACACGCGGGAUGGCUGGAUCCGGGUUUCCCCAUUGUCAAAUUCCCCACUGCUGCCUCCCGU